rnacentral:rRNA from 1 species
CACUAUCGUUAACUGAAUACAUAGGUUAACGAGGCGAACCGGGGGAACUGAAACAUCUAAGUACCCCGAGGAAAAGAAAUCAACCGAGAUUCCCCCAGUAGCGGCGAGCGAACGGGGAGCAGCCCAGAGUCUGAAUCAGCUUGUGUGUUAGUGGAACGGUCUGGAAAGUCCGACGGUACAGGGUGAUAGUCCCGUACACCAAAAUGCACAGGCUGUGAACUCGAAGAGUAGGGCGGGACACGUGGUAUCCUGUCUGAAUAUGGGGGGACCAUCCUCCAAGGCUAAAUACUCCUGACUGACCGAUAGUGAACCAGUACCGUGAGGGAAAGGCGAAAAGAACCCCGGCGAGGGGAGUGAAAAAGAACCUGAAACCGUGUACGUACAAGCAGUGGGAGCACCUUCGGGUGUGACUGCGUACCUUUUGUAUAAUGGGUCAGCGACUUAUAUUCUGUAGCAAGGUUAACCGUAUAGGGGAGCCGCAGGGAAACCGAGUCUUAACUGGGCGUUAAGUUGCAGGGUAUAGACCCGAAACCCGGUGAUCUAGCCAUGGGCAGGUUGAAGGUUGGGUAACACUAACUGGAGGACCGAACCGACUAAUGUUGAAAAAUUAGCGGAUGACUUGUGGCUGGGGGUGAAAGGCCAAUCAAACCGGGAGAUAGCUGGUUCUCCCCGAAAGCUAUUUAGGUAGCGCCUCGUGAACUCAUCUUCGGGGGUAGAGCACUGUUUCGGCUAGGGGGUCAUCCCGACUUACCAACCCGAUGCAAACUACGAAUACCGAAGAAUGUUAUCACGGGAGACACACGGCGGGUGCUAACGUCCGUCGUGAAGAGGGAAACAACCCAGACCGCCAGCUAAGGUCCCAAAGUCAUGGUUAAGUGGGAAACGAUGUGGGAAGGCACAGACAGCCAGGAUGUUGGCUUAGAAGCAGCCAUCAUUUAAAGAAAGCGUAAUAGCUCACUGGUCGAGUCGGCCUGCGCGGAAGAUGUAACGGGGCUAAACCAUGCACCGAAGCUGCGGCAGCGACACUAUGUGUUGUUGGGUAGGGGAGCGUUCUGUAAGCCUGCGAAGGUGACCUGUGAGGGUUGCUGGAGGUAUCAGAAGUGCGAAUGCUGACAUAAGUAACGAUAAAGCGGGUGAAAAGCCCGCUCGCCGGAAGACCAAGGGUUCCUGUCCAACGUUAAUCGGGGCAGGGUGAGUCGACCCCUAAGGCGAGGCCGAAAGGCGUAGUCGAUGGGAAACAGGUUAAUAUUCCUGUACUUGGUGUUACUGCGAAGGGGGGACGGAGAAGGCUAUGUUAGCCGGGCGACGGUUGUCCCGGUUUAAGCAUGUAGGCUGAUUGUCCAGGCAAAUCCGGAUAAUCAAGGCUGAGGUGUGAUGACGAGGCACUACGGUGCUGAAGUAACAAAUGCCCUGCUUCCAGGAAAAGCCUCUAAGCAUCAGGUAACAUUAAAUCGUACCCCAAACCGACACAGGUGGUCAGGUAGAGAAUACCAAGGCGCUUGAGAGAACUCGGGUGAAGGAACUAGGCAAAAUGGUGCCGUAACUUCGGGAGAAGGCACGCUGGUGUGUAGGUGAAGCCCCCGCGGGUGGAGCUGAGACCAGUCGAAGAUACCAGCUGGCUGCAACUGUUUAUUAAAAACACAGCACUGUGCAAACACGAAAGUGGACGUAUACGGUGUGACGCCUGCCCGGUGCCGGAAGGUUAAUUGAUGGGGUUAUCCGUAAGGAGAAGCUCUUGAUCGAAGCCCCGGUAAACGGCGGCCGUAACUAUAACGGUCCUAAGGUAGCGAAAUUCCUUGUCGGGUAAGUUCCGACCUGCACGAAUGGCGUAAUGAUGGCCAGGCUGUCUCCACCCGAGACUCAGUGAAAUUGAACUCGCUGUGAAGAUGCAGUGUACCCGCGGCAAGACGGAAAGACCCCGUGAACCUUUACUAUAGCUUGACACUGAACAUUGAGCCUUGAUGUGUAGGAUAGGUGGGAGGCUUUGAAGCGUGGACGCCAGUCUGCGUGGAGCCAACCUUGAAAUACCACCCUUUAAUGUUUGAUGUUCUAACGUUGGCCCCUGACCGGGGUUGCGGACAGUGUCUGGUGGGUAGUUUGACUGGGGCGGUCUCCUCCCAAAGCGUAACGGAGGAGCACGAAGGUUAGCUAAUCCUGGUCGGACAUCAGGAGGUUAGUGCAAUGGCAUAAGCUAGCUUGACUGCGAGCGUGACGGCGCGAGCAGGUGCGAAAGCAGGUCAUAGUGAUCCGGUGGUUCUGAAUGGAAGGGCCAUCGCUCAACGGAUAAAAGGUACUCCGGGGAUAACAGGCUGAUACCGCCCAAGAGUUCAUAUCGACGGCGGUGUUUGGCACCUCGAUGUCGGCUCAUCACAUCCUGGGGCUGAAGUAGGUCCCAAGGGUAUGGCUGUUCGCCAUUUAAAGUGGUACGCGAGCUGGGUUUAGAACGUCGUGAGACAGUUCGGUCCCUAUCUGCCGUGGGCGCUGGAGAAUUGAGGGGGGCUGCUCCUAGUACGAGAGGACCGGAGUGGACGCAUCACUGGUGUUCGGGUUGUCAUGCCAAUGGCACUGCCCGGUAGCUAAAUGCGGAAGAGAUAAGUGCUGAAAGCAUCUAAGCACGAAACUUGCCCCGAGAUGAGUUCUCCCUGAGACUNGACGUUGAUAGGCCGGGUGUGUAAGCGCAGCGAUGCGUUGAGCUAACCGGUACUAAUGAACCGUGAGGCUUAACCUU